rnacentral:misc_RNA from 1 species
GAUGAAGAACGUAGCGAAAUGCGAUAAGUAAUGUGAAUUGCAGAAUUCAGUGAAUCAUCGAAUCUUUGAACGCACAUUGCGCCCGCCAGUAUUCUGGCGGGCAUGCCUGUCUGAGCGUCAUUUCAACCCUCAUGCCCCUAGGGCGUGGUGUUGGGGAUCGGCCAAAGCCCGCGAGGGACGGCCGGCCCCUAAAUCUAGUGGCGGACCCGUCGUGGCCUCCUCUGCGAAGUAGUGAUAUUCCGCAUCGGAGAGCGACGAGCCCCUGCCGCUAAACCCCCAACUUUCCAAGGUUGACCUCAGAUCAGGUAGGAAUACCCGCUGAACUUAAGCAUAUCAAUAAGCGGAGGA